rnacentral:rRNA from 1 species
AUUGAACGCUGGCGGCAGGCCUAACACAUGCAAGUCGAGCGGAUGAAGGGAGCUUACUCCUGGAUUCAGCGGCGGACGGGUGAGUAAUGCCUAGGAAUCUGCCUGGUAGUGGGGGAUAACGUCCGGAAACGGGCGCUAAUACCGCAUACGUCCUGAGGGAGAAAGUGGGGGAUCUUCGGACCUCACGCUAUCAGAUGAGCCUAGGUCGGAUUAGCUAGUUGGUGGGGUAAAGGCCUACCAAGGCGACGAUCCGUAACUGGUCUGAGAGGAUGAUCAGUCACACUGGAACUGAGACACGGUCCAGACUCCUACGGGAGGCAGCAGUGGGGAAUAUUGGACAAUGGGCGAAAGCCUGAUCCAGCCAUGCCGCGUGCGUGAAGAAGGUCUUCGGAUUGUAAAGCACUUUAAGUUGAGAGGAAGGGCAGUAAGUUAAUACCUUGCUGUUUUGACGUUACCAACAGAAUAAGCACCGGCUAACUUCGUG